ACUUCUUAGGAGAAAGGAAGCUGAAGAAAACCAAGGCUUCACCAAUGGGAAGGUUAGCAAGAGAGGUGUUAAAAUGAGAUGUAGUGUGUGUGGUGAAACAGGACACAACAAGAGAUAUCAUGGACUAAAGGGAAAUAGAGAUGCUUCAGGCGGGCAAACACAUGGAGAGGCAAGCCAAGGUGAAUCCAUCACAGCAGAUGAUCAAAUUGCAAUGAAUGAUGCUUUGAGACUAAUUGAUGAAAAUGAGAGAGCUGAAGCAAAUACAGAAGCAGGGGGAGAAUAUCAC